CGAUUUACUUCGGUAAAGAGCGGCGGACGGGUGAGUAACGCGUGGGUAACCUACCCUGUACACACGGAUAACAUACCGAAAGGUAUGCUAAUACGGGAUAAUAUAUUUGAGAGGCAUCUCUUGAAUAUCAAAGGUGAGCCAGUACAGGAUGGACCCGCGUCUGAUUAGCUAGUUGGUAAGGUAACGGCUUACCAAGGCGACGAUCAGUAGCCGACCUGAGAGGGUGAUCGGCCACAUUGGAACUGAGACACGGUCCAAACUCCUACGGGAGGCAGCAGUGGGGAAUAUUGCACAAUGGGCGAAAGCCUGAUGCAGCAACGCCGCGUGAGUGAUGAAGGCCUUCGGGUCGUAAAACUCUGUCCUCAAGGAAGAUAAUGACGGUACUUGAGGAGGAAGCCCCGGCUAACUACGUGCCAGCAGCCGCGGUAAUACGUAGGGGGCUAGCGUUAUCCGGAUUUACUGGGCGUAAAGGGUGCGUAGGCGGUCUUUCAAGUCAGGAGUGAAAGGCUACGGCUCAACCGUAGUAAGCUCUUGAAACUGGGAGACUUGAGUGCAGGAGAGGAGAGUGGAAUUCCUAGUGUAGCGGUGAAAUGCGUAGAUAUUAGGAGGAACACCAGUUGCGAAGGCGGCUCUCUGGACUGUAACUGACGCUGAGGCACGAAAGCGUGGGGAGCA
rnacentral:rRNA from 1 species